ensembl:lncRNA
GGAGGGAGGGGGAUGAGGAGGGGGCGGGGCCGCACAGGCCCCACCCCCCACGCCAGAACACGCAAGGCGCGCGCGCACGCUCAGAUCGGCGCUCGUCUGGCUGGGUCGGGCGCGCAGGCGCGGUGGAGAGGCCGCGUGGGGGAGGAAGGCGGCGCUGGGCCAGAGAGGCCCGCCGCGGGAUAUUCCGGGGCGGCGAGAGCGAAAACUUCGAAAUGGAUUGGUCUCCCUUAUCUUCCUGUUGGCUGCCUUUCCUUCCUCAGCCUGAGUGUUCAGUCAUUUGAAAAUGUACACAAGGACUCAGCCCACUGGGAACGUACAGUAAAGAGCAGAGUGUGUCUCUUUAGAGAGGUACUGCCCAAGAAGAAGGACAAUUUACUCUUCACUCGUGGAGAUACACGCAGUUGAAGAACAAGCAUUUUGUUGGAGUAGGAAGUACGUUGGUUUACUUAGGAAGGAUAGAAAGGAGGAUGAACCUGUCUUUGGUACACUCUCUGGUGGUCUUUGUAAGUUUGGAUUCCGGGAGUUGUUUUGAGAGGGAGCAAGGAGUUUAGAUGAAAAGGGGUCUGCUCUGGUUUUUGUUUUUCCGUGGAUGGAAUUGUUCAUUUAACGCUUAGAGCUUCUUGGGUGUAUGUUUCCUAUGGACAUUUUUGCAUAUGAUGUUGAUUUUAUAGUUGUAAAGCUGGUGUGAUCCAUUGCCAAAUAGCACUUGUCAUGGAAGUGGAUCUCUGAUGAUCACUACAAGGUGUUUCUUAUGUAUUACUAUUUUUUGUAAGUUUAGUUCUUUAUUUUGAGGGAGAGAGAGUGUGUGUGUGCAUGAGUGGGGAAAGGGGCAGAGAGACAGGGAGAGAGAAUCCCAAGCAGGCCUGGGGCUGUCAGCGCAAAGCCUGAUGCCGGUCUCAAUACCAUGAACUGUGAGAUCACGACCUGAGCCGAAACCAAGAAUUGGAUGCUUAACCAACUGAACCACCCAGACACCCCUAUGUAUUACUAUUUCUUAAUCUGAACAUGUGGGGGAUUCCCGGUCUAUUUCUGCCUGUGCCUAAUUAAGGUUUUUAAACCACAUAUUACUGGAGAGAAGAAGGAACUUUUCAAAAAGCCUGAAAUGAUAAUUGAAUCAAAUGUGCUGUGGAAUCCAUGAAGAAAUGGUGGCCAAAACAUUUUAUUAUUGCUCCUGAAUGUCAGGGAUAAAAACCUUGCAUGGAGUCCAUUUUCGGGUGGUACUCUGUUGGGUGCUAGACAUGAAUAUUUAGGCUCUCCUCGACAUUUAGAAUCUUAGAUGAUGUAAAAGUCCUUUAAAACCUAUUUUGUCCCAAUUUUGUGUUGGGGAAAAUGGAUUUUCCUUUUGUUUUUGUUACUUGGAUAGUUAUUAUGGCUGUGUGGCGGGGGGCCUUGGGGCCCCCAAAGGUCUCUUUUUGAAGGUCUCAAAAAUCAGGUUACAAGUUAGCCUUCCUUUUAGAGGUUAUGAGUUAGCCCUCAUUUUAGAGGCUGAUGGUUUUCUUUGGGUUGUACCUCACCGUUGUGCGAUUUUACAUGUGUAUUAGCAAUGACAACCAGGUUGGAAGAGAGAACUGAUUCGAAUUCCAGAAAUGUUGCUCUGGGUGAGGUAAUAUGCUUUCUUUCUUUCUUUUUUUUUUUUUUUUAAUUAUUAUUUUUUUUAAUGUUUAUUUAUUUUUGAGAGAGACAGAGACAGCAUGUGAGUGGGUUGAAGCAGAGAGAGAGGGAGGUACAGAAUCUGAAACAGGCUCCAGGCUCGGAACUGUCAGCACAGAGCCUGACGUGGGGCUCAAACUCACGAGCUGUGAGAUCAUGACCUGAGCCGAAGUUGGACGCUCAACCGACUGAGCCACCCUGGCGCCCUGGUAAUAUGCUUUCUUAUUAACACAUCAGUUAGCUCAUUAUUUAUUCCUGAAACACAACUCAGAGUGGGAAAGUCCCCCUGUCAAAAACUUUCUAAAAAUCAUUUAUGUCUUUAGAAAAGGGAAGGAGCACUUUUCCACGUUUACUUUUAGCUGAAAAACACUUUUAGGAGUGAGUGACCCAUAGUGGGGGGCACCUGGAUGGCUCAGUUGGUUAAGGGUCUAACUCUUGAUUUUGGGUCAGGUUAUGAUCUCUGUUUGUGAGAUCAAGCCUCAUGUCUGGCUGUGCACUAACAGUGAGAAGCCUGCUUGGGAUUUUCUCUCUCACUCUUUCUGCUCCUCCCCUACUUGUGUUGUCUCUCUUUCUCUCUCUCUCAAAAUAAACAAACGUUAAAAAAUUUAGGGGCA